UGAAACACAAGCUGCUGAGCUUUACUCCAGAAUUUCUGGUUCAGUAGGUCUGCAGUAGGACCUGAAAUUUUAUAUUUCUAACAAGUUUUCAGGAGCUGCUGAUGCCGCUAGUACAGGGCUCACAUUUUGAGAACCUCUGGUCUAGCAAGUUGCCACCAAGAAUGAAGAUUGGGCCAGAGAACAAGAAACAAGUCAACAUUUUGAUUUCAAACAUCAGAAAAGGUGUCCAGAAAUCUCAAGAAUUUGAGACAUCCUAAGGAACUUUAAGUGCUGUGAGCCACAAGUAACAUCAAGAAAAGACAGGGAUGAAGAACCGCACUUACAAGCUCAGUAAGAUUAAACCCAGCAUGGAGAUAUAUGAAUUAAUAUGAACUCUGAGAAAGAAAUUGGUCAGCUAAAAAAUAUAUGGCUUUCCUGAAUAGACAAAAGAACAAAGAUUUUCCCUUUGGUGUAAGCUCAUCCUACACAUGUCAUUUGGACCAGACCAAGGCUGCUGUCAUGGAGGACCCACACCACAGCUUGGGAACCAUUCAUCUACCAGAGGGUCACAUGACUUCAAAUGACUCUUCUAGGGGCCACCUGCCAUGAUAGGGUACCAGCUCUUCCUCUGAAUUCCCAAUCCAUUUCUUGAGAACUACUGUUCCUAAUAACGUACUGUUUCUAAUACCUUUCCAACAAUGGUUUAUUCAUUUAUCCAUACAUUUAAAAUACAGAUCUUUUUUAGCAUCUGCCAUGUUUAAGAUCCUCCUCUAGCACUAGGAAUACAUUAUUGAAUAGAACAAAGUCCCUGAUUUCAUGGUGUUUACAUUUCAAGGGAGAACUAUUCCUUCUUAGAACAGAACACCACAUAAAGUUGUAUAUAGUAAGUGAAAGUGCUCUGGCCAAGGCUGAGACCACAGUCUACCACGAGCUCCUUGCACUGUGAAGAAUGAAUAUUUCUUAAGCACUUAACUGUGUGCCAGGCAUUGUGUAAAGUCCUAAUAUACGUUUGCUUCCUCAUCGGGUGGGAAGUUGAGCAGGAGGCUUUCUAAAGUGUCUAUUAAAACCCAAGUUAUUUGGUUGGCCACUUUAGCCUGUGGUGGAUUAUCUGCACAUUUUUGCCUAGAGAUCACUUAAUCUGUGGCAUAGAAAAACUAUAUUCAAUUGGCCGUGUGUGGUGGCUUAACGCCUGUAAUCCCAGCACGUUGGGAGGCCGAGGCAGGUGGAUCACGAGGUCAGGAGUUUGAGACUAGCCUGGCCAACAUGGUGAAACCCCGCCUCUACUAAAAAUACAAAAAUUAGUGGAGUGCGGUGGUAGGUGCCUAUAAUCCCAGCUACUUGGGAGGCUGAGGCAGGAGAAUCACUGGAACCCGGGAGGCGGAGGUUGCAGUGAGUGGAGAUCGUGCCACUGCACUCUAGCCUGGGCAACAGAGUAAGACUCCGUCUCAAAAAAAAAAAGAAAAGAAAAGAAAAGAAAAGAACAACUCUGUAUUCAAUAGAUCUCUUGAAAUAACUUGAAUUUGGUGGGGGAUGAGGAGGGGUUUCUAAUAAGACAUGUAAUGUAGUAGAAAGAUCUAGGCCUACGUUCAAAUCUCAUUUUUUCCACUAACUGGAACUUCUUUAGUAAGUUGGGGUUAAUUCAUUUCUCCCCGUAUUAUUGUAAGGAUUACAUUGAUUUUUAUUUUACAAAUUUUUAUGAGGUCCCUGUGGUGUACUAGGCACUGACCUUGCUACUGAGGAUAUAACAACAAUCAUCAAGACAUAUAAAAGUCACUGC
ensembl:lincRNA